rnacentral:rRNA from 1 species
ACAUGCUUACAACAUAAUGUUAAUCCAGAUCCCAUUAGAACUCCACAGUUAAACAUGAUCAUGGUAGAGUAGUAUUGGGAUGGAUGACCACCCGAGAAGUCCUAUUAUUUUACAUGCC